rnacentral:rRNA from 1 species
AUUGAACGCUGGCGGCAGGCCUAACACAUGCAAGUCGAGCGGAUGAAGGGAGCUUGCGCCUGGAUUCAGCGGCGGACGGGUGAGUAAUGCCUAGGAAUCUGCCUGGUAGUGGGGGAUAACGUCCGGAAACGGGCGCUAAUACCGCAUACGUCCUGAGGGAGAAAGUGGGGGAUGUUCGGACCUCACGCUAUCAGAUGAGCCUAGGUCGGAUUAGCUAGUUGGUGGGGUAAAGGCCUACCAAGGCGACGAUCCGUAACUGGUCUGAGAGGAUGAUCAGUCACACUGGAACUGAGACACGGUCCUGACUCCUACGGGAGGCAGCAGUGGGGAAUAUUGGACAAUGGGCGAAAGCCUGAUCCAGCCAUGCCGCGUGUGUGAAGAAGGUCUUCGGAUUGUAAAGCACUUUAAGUUGGGAGGAAGGGCAGUAAGUUAAUACCUUGCUGUUUUGACGUUACCAACAGAAUAAGCACCGGCUAACUUCGUG